rnacentral:lncRNA from 1 species
GUUUAAUUUUUAAUUUUUUGGUUUUUAAAUUUUUAAAAUUUCGAAGAAUUUUUGAUGUAUUCUUUGUUCUGUGUCGGAGUGUGUAACUGAUGCGUUCUUGGAACAUUUGGGCAUUGUAUGUGCGGUGCUGAAGAGGGACUGGAGGGGGGUCCGAAGGCGUUGUACCGUAUUGGAGGGGUUUCUUUGCAUAAGUGCUUGAUUUAUUUAACUUGUGUAUAUAUAUAUAUAUAUAUAUAUAUUGUAACCGUAAAAAUUAAAGAUGAAACAAAAUCGAUUAUGUUGAGCUGCUCAACGAGUGUGGCGGAGAUUGAUUUGUACUCUGUGAUAGUUCUGACGGAACUAUUAUAACGUUUGAUGAAAGGCGUAUUCCGGGUCUUCGACUUCCGUUCCGGCGUCGGACUAUUAAUGGCGCGUGUGAACCGCCCAAACCCGUUCGAAAGUCACGUGAUUUCAACCACUGUUAGUUACCUUCUGGAUGACUAUUUCACCGGCUUCUCUUAGUAUUUUGAUAUUAAAGAAUCCAGUGGCAAUCUGAACCAUUUAAAUGUUAGCCUUCCCUAAAUCAUCUUAAAAAAUUACAGAAAAAAUUGAAUUUUUUUUAUUUAUGAAAAAAUUUUUCAAUUUUGAACAAAUAUGAUGUAAACCUUUAUAAAUUAAUACAUUGUAUAUCAGAUUAUAAAAAAAAAAAAAAUCUCGCGAUAACAGUAAAACGGCGUGCGACAUCACGCGCCGGUGAGUUAUGGCGGAGUUGACAAAUUUAGCUCGAUUACGUUUCAGAAUACUGUAUUAUUUUUCGUUUAUUUUAUUUCAUUAAAUAAACGGAGUACAAAAAUAAUACUAAACCAGUUACAACAGAACUUUGAAGUGUACUCGCCAAUAAAACUAAAAUUAUGAUAUUGAUUUUUAUUGCAGUAAAACUGAUUAAAUGAAAUUCCAGCUCUAACUACAAAUUAUUUUAUUUUUUAGAAAAUUUGAUUGUACGUAUAUGUAAUAUUUUUUUUGUAAAUUUUAGAUGAUGCUGAGGAAUACUGCUCGAAAAUGUUCCUCCUAUGCAUUUUUUCAAAAAUUUAGACAUCUUAAUAAGCGUAUCUUUCUUCUGUAUUGACUGAUAUUGAGCACAGCAUUUGUUACAUG